UGAUGGAUUCUGAGGGAGAAACUGGAUACAGAGAGAGAGAACUGAUCCGGGUUUCCAGCACUUCUGUGCCCUAAGGACAUCCCAAAAAGUUUGUACAUUUUUUCCAUACCUUCAUGAAGUUUUGAAGAAAAAUAGUUGGUUUACAGAGUGGAAGAAAUUGCUGGCUUGC